GUUCAUCUUCUUUGUUCAAGCUUAUCAACCCUAAAAAUGGCAAGAUCUAACCAUAAAAUAUCAUAUAUCAUGUAGAUCUUCCCUCAUAUGGAUCAUAAGUUCAACACUUGGUCUAAAACAACCAUCACAAAACACAUAAACUAAUUAGAGUUUUGAGUUUAGGAAAUUUUAUACCUUUGAUUCCAACCAAAAUCAACACCCAAUAUUGUUAGAUCUAAACAUGAUACACUCAUCAACAUGUAUAUACAUAGUUUUUGAGUU
rnacentral:lncRNA from 1 species